UAGGGAAGCGGAACGUUGACAGUGGAGCACACCCGGAAGUAGAUAGGUCACAACAGAUUGGAUUUCAACAUUUCUGCUGCUGUAAUAUGAGAAUGUAAUGCUCGGGGAAGCACGUUUGGGACGGUGGAUGGAUAUUUAUGAUCUUCAUAAUAUUUUUGACCUAGCCGUGCUGCUCUGACGGAGCCACUGCGGCCUGCAGCUGAGCCUCGCCCACCAUGCCGCUGGUGGUGGACGCCGUGUGGGCGCUGUGGAGCAUCACCGCCGGCAUCUACGACUACUUCCACACCAGCGCCAUGGAGGAGCGGAUCCACACGCUGGAGCACGUCCUCUCCAUCCACCAAUUUGUGAUUGCAGGCCUGUCGGCGGGCCUUGUCCUGCUCAUGGCCUACAUACUACUGAGAAAACACUAAAAACCUCCUGCAUGACGGUCAGACUGCUCCUGCUGGCAGUUUGACUGAUGGUUCAGUCCACUGAGUUUCUGUGUUUUAAUUUUUAAUCUCGGUCUGUCUGCUGCUCUAACACGAAACCAUGACUGGUUCUUGAAGGAAGUGUGGCACUUUAUCCAUUUGACAAGCUUGAAGAUCUUUUAAAUGUUAAUUUAUUCAUUCAUUCAUGUUUUAAAACUCAACUAACUUAUUUAUUUCAAACAAAAGAUUCAUGGCCACCUCUGGAUCAGCGAUGUGCGGUCAGGGGAGAACUCUCCUGUAAUCCUGAAAAGUAAAAUAGAUGCUAAUAAUGAUGAGAGAACAUCAAAUUUUUUUGUAUAAAUUAGUUUUUUUAUUUGUAAUGUCAAGAACAUCGAUUUUUUUAUGGCAAAAAUGGCUGAAUUUACACAUUGCCUGUUGAAAUACAUGAAAUAAGUGAGGCAGUGUAGUGCUGUGCCUUACCUCUGGGGGCGCUGUGUUACAUACAGCAGUUGGUGCAUGUGCAUUACUGUUCUCUUUGCAUCGCUAAUAUAUUUAUUAGAUAACACAUGUUCUAUAUAUGUUGACGUUCCUCAGUCUGUAUAAUAUGUUUAAUAAAUGUGAGUGGCAUAUUUAGUCUUUUUAAUCGGCUGUAAAUGCGCAGUGCACAGGGUGAAACAGUAAGUACCGUUAUUCAACGAUAGGGGGCAGUGUUGUGCCCCAUAAGCGCUACAGGCAACAGGUUCUCUUCUGCACAUUGAAAAGACUGAAAACAGUCAGAAAACCAAAAAUGCAGUCAGAACAGAACCUUUUAAGGUUGCCAGAUUUUAAAAAAAUAAAAAGGAAAGAUCAUACAAAGAAGUUAGCCAAAGAAAGCAUUCAAAAUUAAAAAAAUAAAUGUGACCUUAUAUUAAAUAGUUUGUUUUUUUGCUAUUAUAUUGUUGAAUUGUAUUCAAUUGAUUAAAACACAAUAAAAAACUUUAUUAAAGGUCAAAUUUGAAAAAUAAGUUUCUAUUUUGGAUUUGUUCAAAAUGAGUCAGUGUCUGACCAGUUAAGAUCCUCACCGCAUGUCACUGUCAGAAAUGGCUUUUAUUUCGGUUCCUCCAUCUCAGGCACUGGUUCCAGUUAACACAGAACUGUUAUCUUGUUUAUUAUCCUUAAUGAUUACCUAUAAACUCCAGACUAAAAUGCUCUGACAAAAGUAAUCUUGCGUUUUUGUGUCUGUAUUUAUUUAUUUUUUUGUGUUUAGAGGUUUCUAAAAUUUUAUAUAUGUGUUCUGCAGUUUCCCAUUGCUUGUCCUGUUUGUGCCAUGUGCUUAAAACAUGUUAUUUUAUAAAAUUAGGUUUUAUCUACUGUAACAGGUCAGUCCCCAUGUUUACUAUCACUGUUCACAACUGUAGUCAUGAUAUCAAAGGAAAUGUGACAAAUAAAUGUCAUUUUAAUUCA